rnacentral:rRNA from 1 species
UACGUAGGGGCCUAGCGUUGUCCGGAAUUAUUGGGCGUAAAGAGCUCGUAGGCGGUUCGGCAAGUCGGAUGUGAAAUCUCCACGCUUAACGUGGAGGGGCCAUUCGAAACUGCUGUGACUCGAGUCCGGUAGGGGAGUGUGGAAUUCCCGGUGUAGCGGUGAAAUGCGCAGAUAUCAGGAGGAACAUCUGUGGCGAAGGCGACACCCUGGACCAGCACUGACACUGAGGCACGAAAGCGUGGGGAGCAAACAGG